rnacentral:rRNA from 1 species
GACGAACGCUGGCGGCGUGCCUAAUACAUGCAAGUCGAGCGCAGGAAAUCAUCCGAACCCUUCGGGGGGACGUUGAUGGAAUGAGCGGCGGACGGGUGAGUAACACGUAAAGAACCUGCCCUCAGGUCUGGGAUAACCACGAGAAAUCGGGGCUAAUACCGGAUGGGUCAUCGGACCGCAUGGUCCGAGGAUGAAAGGCGCUUCGGCGUCGCCUGGGGAUGGCUUUGCGGUGCAUUAGCUAGUUGGUGGGGUAAUGGCCCACCAAGGCGACGAGGCAUAGCCAACCUGAGAGGGUGAUCGGCCACACUGGGACUGAGACACGGCCCAGACUCCUACGGGAGGCAGCAGUAGGGAAUCUUCCACAAUGGACGAAAGUCUGAUGGAGCAACGCCGCGUGAACGAUGAAGGCCUUCGGGUCGUAAAGUUCUGUUGUAAGGGGAGAACAAGUGCCGCAGGCAAUGGCGGCACCUUGACGGUACCUUGCGAGAAAGCCACGGCUAACUACGUGCCAGCCGCCGCCGUAAUAC